ACUGACACAAGAACAGAAAAUGAAACACCGCAUAUCCUCACUCAUAGACCUCAGAAGUAGUGACUGUGUCCUAACAACAAGUAAAAAAAAAAAAUCUGAACAAACUGAAAAAGCAACAACUCUUCUUGAAUCUCAAUGGAAGAGGAGGACAUGGAGCAGACCACUGUCCUCAAAAGUGGAGAGACAGUUGGAUACAGAGAGUGCCUGAGCAGAUGUGCAAGCUGAGACCUGAGGAAGCAGCGUCGGGGAGGAAAACACAAAAGGCAGCAGACAAAUUGUUGGAGGUUCAUGAUGGACACUUCUGAGAGAGAAAAACUCCAGGAGAACCCAGUCAUUGGGAGGCCUCGACAAUAUUGUGAGAUUUAUGUUCAGGAGAUCAAGCAAGGUACCACAGUAAAUGCCGUGGGGUUGGUGAGGGGGAGGGGUGGGAAUCUCCUCACACUUUUAGCAGAAAAUGAACCAUUUUGAAAUUUAUCAGAGUAUUUUGUUCUUCUUUCUUUUUUUUUUUUUUUUUAGACGGAUUCUUGCUCUGUCACCCAGGCUGGAGUGCAGUGGUACAGUCAGUCUCGGCUCACUGCAACCUCCGUCUCCAGGGGUUCAAGUGAUUCCCCUGCCUCAGCCUCCCGAGUAGCUGGGACUACAGGUGUGCACCACCACGUCCGGCCAAUUUUUUGUAUUUUGGUAGAGACGGGGUUUCACCACGUCCAGGAUGGUCUCGAUCUUCUGACCUCAUGAUCUGCCUACCUCGACCUCCCUACGUGCUGGGAUUACGGAUGUGAGUCACCGUGCUUCUUAACAAGAUCUUCAGGGAAACUAGUUAACAAAAGUCUAACCUUCUGUGGCAUUAUCAGAGCCUAACUAACCUGGGGAAGGGAAAUACCCAAAUCCACUCAGCUCUAGGCUUUCACAUAGAAGAAGGGAAAUAUCCAACUCUGCAUCCUCUAGCUUUCCAUGUUGGGGAAAGGAAGAUACCCAACUCCAGCCUCCUCUGUCCAUAAUGUUCCAUUUAAAUGAGGGGACUGAAGGCACUUUGAAGCCACAGCCCAGAGGCACAGCCUCACUAAAAGACUUGAGACUUAAUCACAGGACUACAGAACACUUCUCCCUCACACCUUAUCACCACAUGACUAAGGCCUACUUAACCAAAUUAUUUUGUAUCCAGUAAAUCAUGUCUUCCUCUAAUCAAAAAAAUUGCAAGUUACACUGUAAGGCAGUAAAGCAGUUUGAAGAGGCAGAAUAAGCAUCUGAACCAACUAUAUGUGGUGGGAAUAUUGGAAUUAAACCAAUAAUUUUUUAAAACUACAAUUAUUAUGAUAAUGGCUUUAAUGCAAAAAAGGCCAACAUACAAAAAGGGAUAGAUAAUAUAAGCAGAGAGGUGAAAAUUCUAAGAAAGAAUCAAACAGAAAUGCUAGAUAUCAAAAACGCAUCUGCAGAAAUAAAGCAUGCCUUUAACGGUUUCA
rnacentral:lncRNA from 13 species